GUCGAAUGAUGUCGUACUGAUUGCUGACAUGAGCGUCGAUCUCAGAAACCUUCGUGGUGUUUUUCUUGGCGGACAUCGUACUUCUGACGUUGGACGUUGUUAUCGUCGUCGUUUUCGUCCUUUUGGUCGUCGUUAAUUCAUGGCGGUUACCACGACGACAUGUUCAGUACCACCCACGCCUAUCAACGAUAUCGCUUGACCGAGCUCAUACGAUAUAAGAGCAGGUGAUGGGUCUGUAACUGGGUUGACUCAAGUUACUAUACAAUCCGGGUGUCGCUCACGUUGGUAGCAGAACGGUAAAUAGCAACGAUCAGCUAACAUCAUUCAUCCAUCAUAACGGUGUAGAAUGUAAAAGGG